rnacentral:rRNA from 1 species
GACGAACGCUGGCGGCGUGCUUAACACAUGCAAGUCGAACGAUGAAGCCUAGCUUGCUAGGUGGAUUAGUGGCGAACGGGUGAGUAAUACGUGAGUAACCUACCUUUAACUCUGGGAUAAGCCUGGGAAACUGGGUCUAAUACCGGAUACGACCAAUCUCCGCAUGGGGUGUUGGUGGAAAGCGUUAUGUAGUGGUUAUAGAUGGGCUCACGGCCUAUCAGCUUGUUGGUGAGGUAACGGCUCACCAAGGCGACGACGGGUAGCCGGCCAGAGAGGGUGACCGGCCACACUGGGACUGAGACACGGCCCAGACUCCUACGGGAGGCAGCAGUGGGAAUAUUGCACAAUGGGCGCAAGCCUGAUGCAGCGACGCCGCGUGAGGGAUGACGGCCUUCGGGUUGUAAACCUCUGUUAGCAGGGAAGAAGAGAGAUUGACGGUACCUGCAGAGAAAGCGCCGGCUAACUACGUGCCAGCAGCCGCGGUAAUACGUAGGGCGCGAGCGUUGUCCGGAAUUAUUGGGCGUAAAGAGCUUGUAGGCGGUUUGUCGCGUCUGCUGUGAAAGGCCGGAGCUUAACUCCGUGUAUUGCAGUGGGUACGGGCAGACUAGAGUGCAGUAGGGGAGACUGGAAUUCCUGGUGUAGCGGUGGAAUGCGCAGAUAUCAGGAGGAACACCGAUGGCGAAGGCAGGUCUCUGGGCUGUAACUGACGCUGAGAAGCGAAAGCAUGGGGAGCGAACAGGAUUAGAUACCCUGGUAGUCCAUGCCGUAAACGUUGGGCACUAGGUGUGGGGAACAUUCCACGUUUUCCGCGCCGUAGCUAACGCAUUAAGUGCCCCGCCUGGGGAGUACGGCCGCAAGGCUAAAACUCAAAGAAAUUGACGGGGGCCCGCACAAGCGGCGGAGCAUGCGGAUUAAUUCGAUGCAACGCGAAGAACCUUACCAAGGCUUGACAUAUACUGGACCGCAUCAGAGAUGGUGUUUCCCUUCGGGGCUGGUAUACAGGUGGUGCAUGGUUGUCGUCAGCUCGUGUCGUGAGAUGUUGGGUUAAGUCCCGCAACGAGCGCAGCCCUCGUUCUAUGUUGCCAGCACGUUAUGGUGGGGACUCAUAGGAGACUGCCGGGGUCAACUCGGAGGAAGGUGGGGAUGACGUCAAAUCAUCAUGCCCCUUAUGUCUUGGGCUUCACGCAUGCUACAAUGGCCGGUACAGAGGGUUGCGAUACUGUGAGGUGGAGCUAAUCCCUAAAAGCCGGUCUCAGUUCGGAUUGGGGUCUGCAACUCGACCCCAUGAAGUCGGAGUCGCUAGUAAUCGCAGAUCAGCAACGCUGCGGUGAAUACGUUCCCGGGCCU